rnacentral:lncRNA from 1 species
GAAUCAUUGAUGGUUUGGAGGUCAGUUUAGACCAAUUUUUCUAUGAUUCCAUAUGGAAUAAAAAUCAAAUUGGUGUACCUUUAUAAAAAAAGAAGGAUACGGCUACAAAAUAAACACAGAAUGGACAUUUUUGUCUUUAUCAUAAAAAAAUGUAGAUGAAAAAACUGUCAAAAUAGGUGCAAUUUGGGUACCGUCACGUUA